rnacentral:rRNA from 1 species
UACGGAGGGUGCGAGCGUUGUCCGGAAUCACUGGGCGUAAAGGGCGCGUAGGUGGCGCGGGCAGUCAACGGUGAAAGUUCGGGGCUCAACCCUGAAUCGGCCGUCGAUACUCCCGUGCUCGAGCACUGUAGAGGCUCAUGGAAUUCCGGGUGUAGCGGUGGAAUGCGUAGAGAUCCGGAAGAACACCGGUGGCGAAGGCGGUGAGCUGGGCAGUAGCUGACACUGAGGCGCGACAGCGUGGGGAGCAAACAGG